GCCAGAUGUGGUGAUGCACACCUGUAAUCCCAGCAACUCAGGAGGCUGAGGCAGGAGGAUCAUGAGUUCAAAGCCAGCCUCAGUAACUUAGUGAGGUGCUAAGCAACUCAGUGAGACCCUGUCUCUA
rnacentral:sRNA from 1 species